GCAUAUCCAAUAAGCGGAGGAAAAGAACCAACAGGGAUUGCCUAAUAAACGGGCGAGUGAAGCGGCAACAGCUCAAAUUUGAAAGCUAGCCUUCGGGUUCGCAUUGUAAUUUGUAGAGGAUGCUUUGGGUAAAACGCCAGUCUAAGUUCCUUGGAACAGGACGUCAUAGAGGGUGAGAAUCCCGUAUGUGACUGGAAAUGUUAACCUAUGUAAAGCUCCUUCGACGAGUCGAGUUGUUUGGGAAUGCAGCUCUAAAUGGGAGGUAAAUUUCUUCUAAAGCUAAAUAUUGGCGAGAGACCGAUAGCGCACAAGUAGAGUGAUCGAAAGAUGAAAAGCACUUUGGAAAGAGAGUUAAAAAGCACGUGAAAUUGUUGAAAGGGAAGCGCUUGCAAUCAGACUUGUUUAAACUGUUCGGCCGGUCUUCUGACCGGUUUACUCAGUUUGGACAGGCCAGCAUCAGUUUCGGCGGCCGGAUAAAGGCAUUGGGAAUGUGGCCUUCACUUCGGUGGAGGUGUUAUAGCCCAGUGUGUAAUACGGCCAGCCGGGACUGAGUCCGCGCUUCGGCUAGAAGCUGCGUAAUGGUUGUA
rnacentral:rRNA from 1 species